GACGAACGCUGGCGGCGUGCUUAACACAUGCAAGUCGAACGGAAAGGCCCUGCUUUUGUGGGGUGCUCGAGUGGCGAACGGGUGAGUAACACGUGAGUAACCUGCCCUUGACUUUGGGAUAACUUCAGGAAACUGGGGCUAAUACCGGAUAGGAGCUCCUGCUGCAUGGUGGGGGUUGGAAAGUUUCGGCGGUUGGGGAUGGACUCGCGGCUUAUCAGCUUGUUGGUGGGGUAGUGGCUUACCAAGGCUUUGACGGGUAGCCGGCCUGAGAGGGUGACCGGCCACAUUGGGACUGAGAUACGGCCCAGACUCCUACGGGAGGCAGCAGUGGGGAAUAUUGCAAAAUGGGAGGAAGCCUGAUGCAGCAACGCCGCGGGCGGGAUGACGGCCUUCGGGUUGUAAACCGCUUUCGCCUGUGACGAAGAGUGAGUGACGGUAAUGGGUAAAGAAGCACCGGCUAACUACGUG
rnacentral:rRNA from 1 species